CCUUUGUUGGCAGCGGAGCAUCCUGGCGGCAUCGCCAUUGCUCGGAACGGCAGGACGGGAUCCUUUCUUCUCUCUCUUACCGCUGUGCAGCACCAUUUCCAGAAUGUAAACCUUGGCGUGCGAAUCGCUUUAUUGGAUCACAUUAAUGGCUUUAAACACAUAACACCGGUCUCAAAUUUAUACUCUGAGCAUAUAGCACAGUACAUAUUCUGGUUGAAAUAAUGCCGGUUUAUGAACAUCUCUUACGAGCCUCUUGGCGAGGCACCGAGUCCCAAAGGCCUUCUGCACGAGCACAGCUCCUGCUGGCAGGCUGCCCCUGAAGCUGUGCCCGCAGGUAUCAGUCGGGCAGGGAAUUAUCCAUCGGGCUGGCCCAUGCCCUGGCGGCCCCACCCCAGCCCAAGGGACUUCCCCACGUACAAAUUCUAACUUGUCCAAUGAACCAAAACAGCAGCAAACUGCUCUGUUGCAAACUCUGGCAAUCAGUGAGUCUGACAAGUUGAUAGAAUGUGAAUUUAAUAAAUCGAUUUGGGGAUUUAUAUAAAAAACCCAAGUGGAUUUGUGUUCUGCACUAGUUUUAACAUUCAAGAAGGGCCAGGAAAUUCAGCUUGCACAAGCUCAUCCUGCAAGGGACUUGCAGAAUUAAGCUAUAGUAUUUAUAGCACCCUAUUUCUUCCCAAUUAACCAGGAAACUGAUUUGAUUAAAGUGAAAACCAAAUUCUGUUUACUUACAUUGCAUUUCUGUGGUUGGCUUGCAUAACAGCAUAAAGAAGAUGGCAGCUGUUACUACCACUCUGGUAUUAAUAUCUGAACUGUUAAUCGAUUUCACAGUUUAUACGUGGCACAAAGGUCCUUGUGCAUGCUGCCUUUCACACAGAUUUAUUUGUUUUCCUCCCAGCAAGGUGUCCUUGACAUGGCAGAAAACGUCCGUCGCCCUUAGUAUUUGAUUUUAAAAAUAAAAUGAAGAGAAUUUUAAGUAUGAUUUACAAGCAGUGCCAGGCUGAUGGCUCUUCUCCAGUGGCUUUUUAAUUCAGGCACACAAAGUAACAGGCAAUUGCACAGUGAGUGUUCCUACAAGCAUCACUUCUGCGUUGGGAGGCUUUGGGGGUUUUUUAGCAGGUUGACCUUACAUCUUAUCUCUAGGUCUUAGACCAGAGGUCCUGUUCACCCCACCAGACACUGUGCCACAUGAUCCUGGGAAGCUGUGGUGGAAGAAGUUCUGUUUGUUUAGGUUAUCCCGUUUUCUCCCUUGGCUUUGCAGUGACCGGGAUCAAAGCCCCUGACACCACUGUCCUCGUGUGCAGUCCCUGUCCUGACCAGUGAAACCAUCACCAGGGAGUCCUUCCACCUGGACUGCAGCCCUGAGAUGGGACCUCCUGCUCACCUGCCCUGACAGAGCCGUGCAGUCCCUAGUCCCACACCACGUAUUUCAUUCUCCAGGAAGCAGAUGCCUGUGCUGUGGCACCAGUACCUGCAGCACUGACCGUGCUGAGCUCAAGAUCAGAAAUACAUCUGUGCAUACCCGGGAAAACAAGCUACUUGAGUGUUUCCAGUGUAAAACGCAGAAAGCACAGGCCCAGCACUGACCUGCAUGGCUGAGACACCGGAGAGCCUCUGUGUGCUCCAGGGCCUGCAAGGACUCCACCAGCUCCACCACAGUGCACCCACGAUCUCCCAGCAGCUUCAGGAGACUCCAGCUGGGACUGCCUUCUGGCUCCAGCACUUGGAGGGAACACUGCUCCAAAUCCAAAGGGCUACGGAGGAACAAAAGAAGGACAUGGCACAGACCACCUUCUUAACACGUUUUGCUCAGAAAGGAGCUGGGUUAACAAUCAAUUGUAGACAAACAAAAAGAUUUAAAAAAAUAGAGACAGAAAUUCCUUGCUGAUUUGGACAUAUUUGCGGUAUUUCCUUCAAGUUUCAUGAGUUCAGAAAUUAUACAGUGACAGAAACUGGUAUUAGUUAUUUGUGUGCUACAAGGUAAGAGAUGUGUGUACCUCACAAGUCUAACCCAAUGUAUUGAGAAACCUUCUAAUUUUCACUUCUUAAGGUAUCAGCAGAAAAGCUAGUACAGUACCCUUCAUUUCCAUGUGCCUAAUUCAGAAGCAGUAAAGAGCAACUCAGUGUCUAACUUCAAAGUGCAGGAAGACUCAUUUUAGAGGAGUUUUUAAAACAAGGGAGUGGUGCAGCCCAGCCAACCAUACAUCACUGCAGCGCAGUUAACUGCCUCUGAAGUUCUUGGUUUAAACUUUAGUGUGAAGUCUUCACGCACUUCCAACCACA